ACUAUCAUUAACUGAAUCCAUAGGUUAAUGAGGCGAACCGGGGGAACUGAAACAUCUAAGUACCCCGAGGAAAAGAAAUCAACCGAGAUUCCCCCAGUAGCGGCGAGCGAACGGGGAGCAGCCCAGAGCCUGAAUCAGUGUGUGUGUUAGUGGAAGCGUCUGGAAAGGCGCGCGAUACAGGGUGACAGCCCCGUACACAAAAAUGCACAUGCUGUGAGCUCGAUGAGUAGGGCGGGACACGUGGUAUCCUGUCUGAAUAUGGGGGGACCAUCCUCCAAGGCUAAAUACUCCUGACUGACCGAUAGUGAACCAGUACCGUGAGGGAAAGGCGAAAAGAACCCCGGCGAGGGGAGUGAAAAAGAACCUGAAACCGUGUACGUACAAGCAGUGGGAGCACGCUUAGGCGUGUGACUGCGUACCUUUUGUAUAAUGGGUCAGCGACUUAUAUUCUGUAGCAAGGUUAACCGAAUAGGGGAGCCGAAGGGAAACCGAGUCUUAACUGGGCGUUAAGUUGCAGGGUAUAGACCCGAAACCCGGUGAUCUAGCCAUGGGCAGGUUGAAGGUUGGGUAACACUAACUGGAGGACCGAACCGACUAAUGUUGAAAAAUUAGCGGAUGACUUGUGGCUGGGGGUGAAAGGCCAAUCAAACCGGGAGAUAGCUGGUUCUCCCCGAAAGCUAUUUAGGUAGCGCCUCGUGAAUUCAUCUCCGGGGGUAGAGCACUGUUUCGGCAAGGGGGUCAUCCCGACUUACCAACCCGAUGCAAACUGCGAAUACCGGAGAAUGUUAUCACGGGAGACACACGGCGGGUGCUAACGUCCGUCGUGAAGAGGGAAACAACCCAGACCGCCAGCUAAGGUCCCAAAGUCAUGGUUAAGUGGGAAACGAUGUGGGAAGGCCCAGACAGCCAGGAUGUUGGCUUAGAAGCAGCCAUCAUUUAAAGAAAGCGUAAUAGCUCACUGGUCGAGUCGGCCUGCGCGGAAGAUGUAACGGGGCUAAACCAUGCACCGAAGCUGCGGCAGCGACGCUUAUGCGUUGUUGGGUA
rnacentral:rRNA from 1 species